GAUGAACGCUGGCGGCGUGCCUAAUACAUGCCAGUCGAGCGAACAGACGAGGAGCUUGCUCCUCUGACGUUAGCGGCGGACGGGUGAGUAACACGUGGAUAACCUACCUAUAAGACUGGGAUAACUUCGGGAAACCGGAGCUAAUACCGGAUAAUAUAUUGAACCGCAUGGUUCAAUAGUGAAAGACGGUUUUGCUGUCACUUAUAGAUGGAUCCGCGCCGCAUUAGCUAGUUGGUAAGGUAACGGCUUACCAAGGCGACGAUGCGUAGCCGACCUGAGAGGGUGAUCGGCCACACUGGAACUGAGACACGGUCCAGACUCCUACGGGAGGCAGCAGUAGGGAAUCUUCCGCAAUGGGCGAAAGCCUGACGGAGCAACGCCGCGUGAGUGAUGAAGGUCUUCGGAUCGUAAAACUCUGUUAUUAGGGAAGAACAAAUGUGUAAGUAACUAUGCACGUCUUGACAGUACCUAAUCAGAAAGCCACGGCUAACUACGUG
rnacentral:rRNA from 1 species